rnacentral:rRNA from 1 species
GACAGAGGCCUCAAGCGUUAGGCGGAAUCACUGGGCUUAAAGCGUGUGUAGGCGGGUCGUUAAGUACCUUGUGAAAUCCCACGGCUCACCCGUGGAACUGCUGGGUAUACUGUCGAUCUUGGGCCAUUCAGGGGCAACUGGAACAAACGGUGGAGCGGUGAAAUGCGUAGAUAUCGUUUGGAACGCCAAAGGUGAAAACAGGUUGCUGGGAAUGUGCCGACGCUGAGACACGAAAGCCAGGGGAGCAAACGGG